UGUACUGUUUCACAUUACUGGUAAACUAGGAACAGAAAAUGCAAAUUUCUACAACAGUGAUCCUUCUAGGCAAUUUAUACUUGACAUUCCAUGCCAUCUGCUAAAGGCUGUCCGUACUGUAGAUUGUUGUUUUUAACAUAAGCACCAAGUAUUUUACAAGUCAAUGUCGUCAUAUCUUUGUAAUAGUCCCUAAAAUGUGAUUUAUUUUUACAGACCUUUUCCAUGUUUUCUUUUCAGAUGUCUAGGACAUACUUACAUAUACCACUCUAGGACCUUUGUGGCAGACACCCCGCUGGACCCCCUCUGAUCUCUCAAGCCAGGGUGAAGAGAAAAAAGGAAAAACCGGGGUCACACUGGCCGUAGCCUAUCCCAGGAACCUCCCAAUGCACUAUAAAGUUAUGCACUUAUGAGAUGGGGAGACUGUGCAGAUUCAACAGCAUUCUGAUUGGUCCAUUCGAGCAGUGCACAGCAUAUCCAGGUGAGAGAUCUACAAUACCCUCUUCAAUGUCAUGGUGGCUCUACAGUGCCGGAAGAUUUAGGUAAAUUGGAUGUGAAAAAGUUUUUUUAAAAAAA